CCCAUCUGAUUGCGGGACUCAGCCCAGGGAUAAUUCUGUGCCCCUGUGAGACAGCUUAGAUGGUGACAAGCUACAGAUAUUGAAGCCAGUGGGACCUGGGUUUGAAGUCUGACUCUGCCAUUUAGUGAAAGACCUUGAGCAAAACUCACUGGCCCUGGAGCCAAUCUUGAGCAGAGCCUAUAAGGCAGAAGGAUCCAGACUCUGAAUAACCAGACAUGCCUGCAGGAGACCAUGUGAGUGAUGGAAAUAAAACUCUGCUGGGGCAUUCAAAUAUUGAAAGAAUGAAUGAAUGAAUAAGUGUUUGCACCAGUGAGAUACUGAGCGGACCUAUUUGAAAAGAGAGAGUGGAAGAAUGGGCUCCGGAUGUGGGACUGCAGAGGACACUUGGAACAGGGGCCAGCAAAAGGACUCUGAGCUCCAGAGGGGAACAACAAGGAGUAAUCCUAAAGAUGCAGCUUGAGCUGUGGCCCCCAAAAGAUAUGUCCACAACCUAAUCCAUGGAAUCUAUGAAUGGAUCUUCUUUGAGAAAAAGAUCUUUACGAAGAAAGUCCAAUUUUCCGUUUCUAAAUCCUUGCCAGUGCACGCACCUCAGCCCUGGCUUGCGUAGAUGAUGGCUGCAUGUGCGCUUAUCUGACUCAAGGAGAUGCCGGGAAGAAGACUUCUUACAAAACCAUAGCGUCAAAAAUUAAUGAGGAAUGUGAAGAUGCUUUUCCUGGUGCUAAAUACCCGGCUCAACGUUUCAUAUGCCCCUUACUUUACU
rnacentral:lncRNA from 1 species